rnacentral:rRNA from 1 species
CAGUCGCCGCGGUAAUACGGAGGGUGCAAGCGUUACUCGGAAUUACUGGGCGUAAAGCGUGCGUAGGUGGUGGUUUAAGUCCGUUGUGAAAGCCCUGGGCUCAACCUGGGAAUUGCAGUGGAUACUGGGUCACUAGAGUGUGGUAGAGGAUAGUGGAAUUUCCGGUGUAGCAGUGAAAUGCGUAGAGAUCGGAAGGAACAUCUGUGGCGAAGGCGACUAUCUGGGCCAACACUGACACUGAGGCACGAAAGCGUGGGGAGCAAACAGGAUUAGAUACCCGCGUAGUCCCUGUCUCUUAUAC